GUGCUGGGGAAGUGGGGGUCAGGAUUCCAGUACCAGAGCACGUGCUAGAGCAUAAUUGGGGACAAAGGCUCCCCUCCGGCAGCCCUUUUAACCCCUUGCAACAGUG